rnacentral:lncRNA from 1 species
UGUUCUUGGCAUGCGCCCACCUCGUCUGGCAAGGAAAAACGCAACACGGUCGGAUUCUUCUCAACAGCUUUAUUCCUGGACCGGCUUGAUGCUACGGUCCAGGGAGGACUGCUUAUAUACACCCCAGCACUGGUGAGAGCUAUGUGUCCUCCUGGGAUUGGUCAGUCUGUCGGCACUUUGAUUUGUAUGCACCCGCUUGGGAGGGGUUGGCGCCAGAUUUGGCUAGCGCCUGCGCAGUGGCGUUGUUUACAGCGGUGUACUGGAGGCCGGCGCCAUCUUUUAGGUGCCCGGCUGCCUACACUGAGGGUUAUGUUGGUGUCUGUGGCCAGCACUACAGCAAACAGCCAUGUUGAUACUUGUGGUCUGUACUGCCACUGGAGAUCAUGCUGAGGUCCGUGGCUUAUGAUGAUGUCAGAGACCCGUGUAGGAGUCCGUGAUCCAUGCUCCUGCUGACUGUGAAAGGCAAGGAAGCUACUUUUGCAGUUAUGACUGCAAAAACUCAAUGACUGCAAACUCACAGUUGAGACAAAGGGACAAAGAACUGUUCUGUGGCACCCCCACCCUCAAAAGUAGCAUUUUUAUACAGGAAGCCAUAGAAGAGAACUCCUAAAAAUUGUGGUAAGGUCGCUUGGUGUAGCUCUCCACAAUGAAGCAGGGCUGUGAGUGGGGUAGGACUCAGCUUUCUUUAGGGGGCUGGCCACUGGGAGUUUGACCAUGCUCCAGUGAGUGUAUGGGCAACACAAAUUAGACUUGCUUUGGUUAGUUUCUUCUUUUGGAGGGAGUGAUGGUCACAGGGUGGAGGGGAUGGACCUGGGAGGAGUGGAUAGUGAGUGUGAUGGGGGAACAUGAUACAAAAUUCCCAAAUAAUCAAUAAAAGUAUCAUGCUG